AAGAUGCUGGAGAGACUUCUCUCCGGAUGAGCCCUCUCUCGGAGUAUCUCGUCUACGGCGAUUUGCUGCUCCAGUCUCGCGCCGAGUCCCGUCGGCGCAUCUCUUUUCGUCCUUCUGUCUCUUCGAUCUAUCUAUCUGUCUCUUUCUCUCUCUCUCUCGCACGCGCGAUCGAGAGAAGAAACGCGCGCGUUUUUCGUCACGUUUGAGAAAAAGAUCUUUUCUCAUUUCGUAUAAUCAUCGAUCGAUAACCGAUCAAAUCGAUUUUUAGUCUUAUGCACGGGAAAGUCGGGAAAUAUGAAAUUGAUUUUAUAGUGGACGAGUUUGUUGUCGAACAAGACGGAAGAUAUUUUUUUUUAUUUGUGACCCUGUGAAAUUGAUUACUACGGUGCUACGAUCAAGUCUUUCACAGAUUCGAAGCAGCGACGGAAUUCGCAUCGUGACGAUAAAGUUAAAACAACGAGUGUGUCCUUUGAAUUGAAUUUCCAGUAGAGUGAUUCAGCUGUACACCUGUUCGCGUUUGAUAUCCUUUGGGAAAAAGAAAAAAACAAGAAAAGGCAUAACGAUGAUGGGACCGUUCUUCGUGAUUAAGUGCCAAAGAAAAGGACGAUGAUAAUCAUUUUAAUAAUAGAUGUCUGCCUGUCGAAGGACUAUCAACGACGACGUUUGAUCUUUGAAAAGGACAUCGAACAUGCGUGUUAAUAAACGUAUUCUCGUCUACGAUCUAUCGAAAGCCUAACGAUACGAAACUUUUAUUCGAGAGAAUUGAAAGAGUGUAAGAAAGUGAAGGAAGGAAGAGAAAAAUAAAAAACUAGGAA